rnacentral:rRNA from 1 species
GAUGAACGCUGGCGGCGUGCCUAAUACAUGCAAGUCGAGCGAACGGACGAGAAGCUUGCUUCUCUGAUGUUAGCGGCGGACGGGUGAGUAACACGUGGAUAACCUACCUAUAAGACUGGGAUAACUUCGGGAAACCGGAGCUAAUACCGGAUGAUAUUUUGAACCGCAUGGUUCAAAAGUGAAAGACGGUCUUGCUGUCACUUAUAGAUGGAUCCGCGCUGCAUUAGCUAGUUGGUAAGGUAAUGGCUUACCAAGGCAACGAUGCAUAGCCGACCUGAGAGGGUGAUCGGCCACACUGGAACUGAGACACGGUCCAGACUCCUACGGGAGGCAGCAGUAGGGAAUCUUCCGCAAUGGGCGAAAGCCUGACGGAGCAACGCCGCGUGAGUGAUGAAGGUCUUCGGAUCGUAAAACUCUGUUAUUAGGGAAGAACAUAUGUGUAAGUAACUGUGCACAUCUUGACGGUACCUAAUCAGAAAGCCACGGCUAACUACGUA